rnacentral:rRNA from 1 species
CAUAUCAAUAAGCGGAGGAAAAGAAACUAACAAGGAUUCCCCUAGUAACUGCGAGUGAAGCGGGAAAAGCUCAAAUUUAAAAUCUGGCAGUCUUUGGCUGUCCGAGUUGUAAUCUAGAGAAGUGUUAUCCGCGCUGGACCGUGUACAAGUCUCCUGGAAUGGAGCGUCAUAGAGGGUGAGAAUCCCGUCUUUGACACGGACUGCCAGGGCUUUGUGAUGCGCUCUCAAAGAGUCGAGUUGUUUGGGAAUGCAGCUCAAAAUGGGUGGUAAAUUCCAUCUAAAGCUAAAUAUUGGCGAGAGACCGAUAGCGAACAAGUACCGUGAGGGAAAGAUGAAAAGAACUUUGGAAAGAGAGUUAAACAGUACGUGAAAUUGCUGAAAGGGAAACGCUUGAAGUCAGUCGCGUUGUCUGGGAAUCAACCUUGCUUUUGCUGGGCGUACUUUCUAGAUAAUGGGUCAGCAUCAAUUUUGACUGUUGGAUAAAGUCUAGAGGAAUGUGGCAUCUUCGGAUGUGUUAUAGCCUUUGGUUGCAUACAACAGUUGGGAUUGAGGAACUCAGCACGCCGCAAGGCCGGGUAAUAUAUACCACGUUCGUGCUUAGGAUGCUGGCAUAAUGGCUUUAAUCGACCCGUCUUGAAACACGGACCAAGGAGUCUAACAUGCCUGCGAGUAUUUGGGUGGAAAACCCGAGUGCGCAAUGAAAGUGAAAGUUGAGAUCCCUGUCAUGGGGAGCAUCGACGCCCGGACCGGAGCUUUUGUGAUGGAUCUGCGGUAGAGCAUGUAUGUUGGGACCCGAAAGAUGGUGAACUAUGCCUGAAUAGGGUGAAGCCAGAGGAAACUCUGGUGGAGGCUCGUAGCGAUUCUGACGUGCAAAUCGAUCGUCAAAUUUGGGUAUAGGGGCGAAAGACUAAU